rnacentral:rRNA from 1 species
GACGAACGCUGGCGGCGUGCCCAAUACAUGCAAGUUGAGCGCUGAAGGUUGGUACUUGUACCAACUGGAUGAGCAGCGAACGGGUGAGUAAAGCGUGGGGAAUCUGCCUUUGAGCGGGGGACAACAUUUGGAAACGAAUGCUAAUACCGCAUAAAAACUUUAAACACAAGUUUUAAGUUUGAAAGAUGCAAUUGCAUCACUCAAAGAUGAUCCCGCGUUGUAUUAGCUAGUUGGUGAGGUAAAGGCUCACCAAGGCGAUGAUACAUAGCCGACCUGAGAGGGUGAUCGGCCACAUUGGGACUGAGACACGGCCCAAACUCCUACGGGAGGCAGCAGUAGGGAAUCUUCGGCAAUGGACGAAAGUCUGACCGAGCAACGCCGCGUGAGUGAAGAAGGUUUUCGGAUCGUAAAACUCGGUUGGUAGAGAAGAACGUUGGUGAGAGUGGAAAGCUCAUCAAGUGACGGUAACUACCCAGAAAGGGACGGCUAACUACGUG